rnacentral:rRNA from 1 species
AUUGAACGCUGGCGGAAUGCUUUACACAUGCAAGUCGAACGGUAGAGGGGGCAACCCCUUGAGAGUGGCGAACGGGUGAGUAAUGUAUCGGAACGUGCCCAGUCGUGGGGGAUAACGUAGUGAAAAUUACGCUAAUACCGCAUACGAUCUAUGGAUGAAAGCGGGGGAUCGCAAGACCUCGCGCGAUUGGAGCGGCCGAUAUCAGAUUAGGUAGUUGGUAGGUUAAAGGCCUACCAAGCCAACGAUCUGUAGCUGGUCUGAGAGGACGACCAGCCACACUGGAACUGAGACACGGUCCAGACUCCUACGGGAGGCAGCAGUGGGGAAUUUUGGACAAUGGGCGAAAGCCUGAUCCAGCCAUUCCGCGUGCAGGAUGAAGGCCCUCGGGUUGUAAACUGCUUUUGUACAGAACGAAAAGGUUUCUAUUAAUACUAGGAGCUCAUGACGGUACUGUAAGAAUAAGCACCGGCUAACUACGUGCCAGCCGCCGCAGUAA